ACGCGAUAAGUAGACCGCCUGGGGAGUACGGUCGCAAGACUAAAACUCAAAUGAAUUGACGGGGGCCCGCACAAGCGGUGGAGCAUGUGGUUUAAUUCGAUGCAACGCGAAGAACCUUACCUGGUCUUGACAUAGUAAGAACUUUCCAGAGAUGGAUUGGUGCCUUCGGGAACUUACAUACAGGUGCUGCAUGGCUGUCGUCAGCUCGUGUCGUGAGAUGUUGGGUUAAGUCCCGCAACGAGCGCAACCCUUUUCCUUAUUCACCAGCACUUCGGGUGGGAACUUUAAGGAUACUGCCAGUGACAAACUGGAGGAAGGCGGGGACGACGUCAAGUCAUCAUGGCCCUUACGACCAGGGCUACACACGUGCUACAAUGGUCGGUACAAAGGGUUGCUACCUAGCGAUAGGAUGCUAAUCUCAAAAAGCCGAUCGUA
rnacentral:rRNA from 1 species